rnacentral:rRNA from 1 species
GACGAACGCUGGCGGCGUGCUUAACACAUGCAAGUCGAACGGAAAGGCCCUGCUUUUGUGGGGUGCUCGAGUGGCGAACGGGUGAGUAACACGUGAGUAACCUGCCCUUGACUUUGGGAUAACUUCAGGAAACUGGGGAUAACACCGGAGAGGAGCUCGUGCUGCAGGGGGGGGUUGGGAGAUUUUCGGCGGGUGGGGAUGGACUCGCGGUUUAUGAGCUUGUUGGUGGGGUAGUGGCUUACCCAGGCUUUGACGGGUAGCCGGCCUGAGAGGGUGACCGGCCACAUUGGGACUGAGAUACGGCCCAGACUCCUACGGGAGGCAGCAGUGGGGAAUAUUGCACAAUGGGCGGAAGCCUGAUGCAGCAACGCCGCGUGCGGGAUGACGGCCUUCGGGUUGUAAACCGCUUUCGCCUGUGACGAAGCGUGAGUGACGGUAAUGGGUAAAGAAGCACCGGCUAACUACGUG